UGAGAGCCAGAAGACAGAGUGACUAAUUC
rnacentral:piRNA from 1 species